GAUGAACGCUAGCGACAGGCUUAACACAUGCAAGUCGAGGGGCAGCGGGGAUGAAGCUUGCUUCAUCCGCCGGCGACCGGCGCACGGGUGAGUAACACGUAUGCAACCUGCCCCUGGCUGGGGGAUAAGCCGGAGAAAUCCGGUCUAAUACCGCGUAACAUCCUUACGGGACAUCCCGUUAGGAUCAAAGGAAGCGAUUCCGGCCAGGGAUGGGCAUGCGGCGCAUUAGCUAGUCGGCGGGGUAGCGGCCCACCGAGGCGACGAUGCGUAGGGGUUCUGAGAGGAAGGUCCCCCACACUGGUACUGAGACACGGACCAGACUCCUACGGGAGGCAGCAGUGAGGAAUAUUGGUCAAUGGGCGCGAGCCUGAACCAGCCAAGUCGCGUGAGGGAAGACGGUCCUAUGGAUUGUAAACCUCUUUUGCCGGGGAGCAAGCUGAGUCACGUGUGGCUCAGCUGAGAGUACCCGGAGAAAAAGCAUCGGCUAACUCCGUGCCAGCAGCCGCGGUAAUACGGAGGAUGCGAGCGUUAUCCGGAUUUAUUGGGUUUAAAGGGUGCGUAGGCGGACUGUCAAGUCAGCGGUAAAAUUGAGAGGCUCAACCUCUUCCCGCCGUUGAAACUGGUGGUCUUGAGUGGAUGAGAAGUACGCGGAAUGCGUGGUGUAGCGGUGAAAUGCAUAGAUAUCACGCAGAACUCCGAUUGCGAAGGCAGCGUACCGGCAUCCAACUGACGCUGAGGCACGAAAGCGUGGGGAUCAAACAGGAUUAGAUACCCUGGUAGUCCACGCAGUAAACGAUGAAUGCUAGGUGUCCGGGUCGAGUGAGACCUGGGUGCCACAGCGAAAGCGUUAAGCAUUCCACCUGGGGAGUACGCCGGCAACGGUGAAACUCAAAGGAAUUGACGGGGGCCCGCACAAGCGGAGGAACAUGUGGUUUAAUUCGAUGAUACGCGAGGAACCUUACCCGGGCUCAAACGUCGGAGGACGGAGAGUGAAAGCUUUCUUUCCCACGGGACUUCCGACGAGGUGCUGCAUGGUUGUCGUCAGCUCGUGCCGUGAGGUGUCGGCUUAAGUGCCAUAACGAGCGCAACCCCCAUCGCCAGUUGCUAACAGGUCAAGCUGAGGACUCUGGCGAGACUGCCGGCGCAAGCUGUGAGGAAGGCGGGGAUGACGUCAAAUCAGCACGGCCCUUACGUCCGGGGCGACACACGUGUUACAAUGGCGGGGACAGCGGGAAGCCACCUGGCGACAGGGAGCGGAACCCGAAACCCCGUCUCAGUUCGGAUUGGAGUCUGCAACCCGACUCCAUGAAGCUGGAUUCGCUAGUAAUCGCGCAUCAGCCACGGCGCGGUGAAUACGUUCCCGGGCCUUGUACACACCGCCCGUCAAGCCAUGGAAGCCGGGGGUGCCUGAAGUGCGUGACCGCAAGGAGCGCCCUAGGGUAAAACCGGUGACUGGGGCUAAGUCGUAACAAGGUAGCCGUACCGGAAGGUGCGGCUGGAACACCUCCUUUCUGGAGCAGGGACGCCACGGUGUCCCGCGCCUCCCGGAUCCGACCGUUAGGAGUCAGGACAGCAUAAUAAACGACGCAGGUCAGAUAGGCCGUACUGUUUGAAGCCAUUGUAAAUCGCAUAACGUCCCUCAGCGCCCGAAGGGAGACGCGGGGCACGUACCCGGACAGUCUCUUAGCUCAGUUGGUUAGAGCGCUACACUGAUAAUGUAGAGGUCGGCAGUUCAACUCUGCCAGGGACUACACGAAAAAGAGCGAACAUUGACAUGAUGGAAGCCGAGACAGACCGCAAAGGUCUGAAUCGGAAAUCACGAGCAAAUCAAAAAAACGUCAACCAAGACAAAAAGACAAUCUCGCGGGGAGCGAUCCCCGGCCGAAGGUAGUCUACGGAUUGCGACGAAAGAAGAUCAUAAAGGCACUUUCCUUGAAAAGAGAAAAGGAAAGGAGAGAAGGGCACAUGAAGGAUGCCUUGGCUCUCGGAGGCGAAGAAGGACGUGACAAGCUGCGAAAAGCCGCGCCCAGGGGCAAAUACCCGUUGAAGCGCGGAUGUCCGAAUGGGGCAACCCGGCGGAGCGAACCUCCGCCACCUGGCCAAGCCAGGGGCCAACCCGGGGAACUGAAACAUCUAAGUACCCGGAGGAAAAGAAAACAACAGUGAUUGCGCGAGUAGUGGCGAGCGAAAGCGCAGGAGCCCAAACCGGAGGUGUGGCAACGCACCGUCCGGGGUUGUAGGACCGCCGACAAAGGCACCCGCACAGGUUAGGGGAAAGUGCUGGAAAGCACUUCCGCAGAGGGUGAAAGACCCGUACCCGAAAACGUGUGCGCAGCCGAGGCGGCACCUGAGUAGUGCGGAACACGAGAAAUUCUGCAUGAAUCCGCGGGGACCAUCCCGCAAGGCUAAAUACUACCGAGAGACCGAUAGCGAACC
rnacentral:rRNA from 1 species